ACUCCUUCUAACACUGUCACUAUCCUCCACCCUGAAGGAAACAUGCUACUACAACAGCCAAUCUCCUUUCACCUCAGAGCUUCACCCAGGAGACACUCAUAUCACAUCCUCAUCAUCAUCGUCUUCCUCAGCAUAUUCAUCAUCUUCAUCAUCAUCAUGAUAUUUUUCUUCAUCAUGAUGUUCAGAGUUCUGAUUCACCUGGCAGCUCUACCACUCUGGGUGACAGGGCAGUUGUUUAGUAGCAUGGUUCAUCAGAGGCCUGUGGCACUAACAGAAGGUCCUGGAGGAGACGUUCAACUCACCUGCAGCCAUACGAUCCCUAACUACUACGUGAUACUAUGAACCAUCAACAUGAUCAAGCUUCUCAUACAUGUAGCAACUCUACCACUAUGGGUGACAGGUACUAAAUCCCUCAUGAAAGAUAGAUUU
rnacentral:lncRNA from 1 species